AAUACCAGUCGACAGCAACAACUGCCCUUUUAAAGUCACGUCUUGUCAUCUGAACCGUCACAACCAUUGGAAAUAGUAGAUAAGCUCAAAUCUCAUCAAAUCUUUAAUCUUCAGCUACACGUUUUCAGAAGAGCCAUUUCUUUUACUCUAAUCUGGUUCUCUUUGCUUUUUCCUCUCCACUGCUCUUCGAACACUCUCUGGGAUGCUGCCCUCCAGAGCCUCCGCCGCAAACGGUGAUGCAACGUCGACAUGGAGUACCGAUUUGUAAGCCAAUAUUUCCCCAUCCAUCGCUUGGACUAUUAACCCCGUAGCUGAUCUGAAAGACUGCUGGUCAAAAGCUGCAUCAAAAUAAAUAACUGGGCACGUUCUCUGAUCAACCUGUUAAAGAACUCUAUCAGAAUCUAAGCUAAGUUUUUUCUCUACUCCUUACAACUCUGAAACGUAGCUAACUAUUUGAUUGGAAAUUUCAGUGCUUGUUGUGUUUCUAUUUUCAUAAAGGAGUUUAUUUCGACUUGUCCAGAUAAUCCAUAACCCACGGCAGAAACGACGACACUGUUCACUUGUCCCCUUGUUGAAAACCCAGGGCACUACCAGAAAAUGUGGAAACUGUCUUCUUCAGUAAGACGACACCUGGGACAAUGAGUUUCAACGACUACUCGUUUAGUUUUAAGAUUCGCAAAAGUAGGAAUAUAGUUCCAGGCAACUUUCCAAACUGUAAUUUUGAUCUUUGAAGGAAUAUGUAGAUUCCAUAAUUUCCUGUAAAAUUUUUUAUUCUCGGCCCCUAAAUUAUAACUACUAGGAUCCAGUGUAGUCUGUUGUAAUAGUUUGUAGGCGCUCCUAAUAGAGAAAAUUCCAGAUGGUUCCCCCCAUAAUUGGAAAUCGUCGUGCUCUGUCCUUGUCAAAGGGAUCUGCUUGAUUUUUUUUAACAAUAUCUGCAUUGAGUAAGCUGGAAUAGAUUGAAGGACUGCCUUAAUAAAAACCUCCUUUCCUCCCUGCGAAAGAUGUUUUAUACUCCAA